rnacentral:lncRNA from 1 species
GGAAAUGUUAAAAUGGGCGACUGCAGGCAGGGAAAGGGAUAUAAAGCAUGAAAAAGUUACAUGUGGGGAAGAUGGCUGCAAUUAUUUCAGUUUUGGGGCUUUUGGGCAUGCUCUACCCUUCUCCUGCAAUAAUAGUCGAGGCCAGGCAGGUCACACAGGCUAGCUUUUAUAAUUACUCACAUCAAAUAUGUGUUUUUAGGCCCUUUUCUCGUCCUCAAGCUAAGUAAAACCCCACGCUUCCAUUACCUUUAUUUUCAUAUAUAAUAAAAAAUAUAUGAAGAAUAUAGAAUUUGCUUUAAUUGAUU